GCUCGAAACAAAUCUCACAUCCACUCCACCUCCUGCUCCGCUUCCCACUCACCUCCCCCUCCCCCUCCAAAGCGCCGCCGCCAACCACCACAUCUCCGGCCACCAGAGUCUCCCCUCCCCUCCAUCGUGGCUGCUGCUCUCGGAUCGACCUCCGCAUCCGGGGGCCAACUCCUACAUCCACGGCGACGGCCUCCCCAUCCGGCGGAUUCGUCUUCUCCUCCACGAAGAGGCCAUGGCAGGAGGAGCCCCAAACCCUAUUAGCACCCGCCAUGCCGACCUAGCACCAGGAACCGGCCGGCGCAUCCUGCAGCCGCCGGUCCAGCAUGGCCUCGACGACUCCAAGGCGAGGAUGAUGACGACGAGGACCCGAGCUCUAGCCCCACCGGCAUGGUCCCUGCUGCCUGCCGGUAACAAAUCCCUGCAGAUAUGCACCAUAUGGGAGAUCCUUCUCGCCGGACUUCGGGAGGAGGCGGUCCCUCGGUGAUGGGGUUGAGAGCUGCCGUGAUGGGGCUGUCGCUCAAUAUCGAGAUGCCUCUCGCCUCUACCUGCUGCACCAUCAAGUCAUCUUCCUUGGCCACCAAACGCUGCGAUUUUUUAUGCCAAAUUAACAAAUGACCUCCUUCCUUGUUCUUCUAUUACUAGUGUAUACACAUUAGUAGUACUGCCACUGUAUGAUGGAUGUGUGUUGUUCUCUGAUGCAAAAAAUUCCUCACUUUCCUUUACUCACUAGUAUAGUAAAAAAACACGAUUGAUUAAUCAUUAUGGGUGGUGAAUCAUGUAUGUAUUUCAUUACAGAAAACACUGCUUGCUUGUAUUUGCAUCUUUGCAGGCAUGUAUCAUGUAUGCAGCAGGCGAGGAUGAGGACCUGAGCUCGAGCCUGACCAUGAUGGCGCACAUCACAAGGUCCCUACUGCCCGCCGGUUUCGCAGCAUUCUCAGCAGGAGAAGUGGUGGGUGUUUUUUGACUUUGACGUUGGGAAAGCACUUGGGAGGGGCAAGUUCGGGCAUGUUUACUUGGCCAGAGAAAAGAGGAUUGAUGACAGGUUCAAUUUUAUCUCAUGAGAUGAUGCGUGCGUGGUUUUGACUUAAAGGAUAAAUGAUUUGUGAAGCUUACCUACCGGAGAUCCCUUGAUGAUAAUGCUGCUAAGUUAUUCUGCCUUUGUAGCCUUAGGGCCUGGAUUGCAAACUCAAGAUACCCUGACGAGGUCCGCAUGAGAGUUUGCAAAGGAGCUGGAGUGCUGGACGUGCAGGGGCAUGGUAUCCUGAUGAGAUGACAGUGGCCAACACCACCUACAUGGGCUUGGACGCCCUCCACUCUGCAGGCGGCCUUGGCAAGCUGACGGUCUACUAGAACCAACUUCGUGUAGGAGGUCAAGAUGGACGUCGACACGCUGAAACCGAUCUGGGUUCAGGUCUGCAUCAAAGGCAACAUCUAACUCAUUGACAAGGGCAUCCACGUGGGUCAUCAAUGGUGUGGUCCAAAAAGACGAGAAGCACGGCUGCCGUGACGAUGGUGGACAUCGCCACCUACCCGCUGCCCAAGAGGACCAAGCUUGGCUAUCCCGAUGCCUCCAUUUCUUCACAAUCUCUCGCCAGGAGAGUAGGAGGGGCGGCAACUGCUUCCUUGGCCGAGCUUGUCUCCACUAGGCUGCUUGUGCAGGAUUUGGCUCUGCGGUUCAAUUUCAACGCUGUGGGGGAGCUGGUGCCAUUGUGGGCUACCUAUUGUUAGGGUUCAUCUUCCAAUGAUUGUAGCCGUGGCGAGGUUAGGCCUGCUUCCUGCCAUGUACAGCGUUGAUGCAAGCUGCUGGCUUGCCCAACACCGUACCAUGCAUGUGCUCCUCCACGAACCUCUUCAGAUGGUUUGAGGAUUUGGCUCUGCGGUUCAAUUUCAACGCUGUGGGGGAGCUGGUGCCAUUGUGGGCUACCUGUCGUUAGGGUUCAUCUUCCAAUGAUUGUAGCCGUGGCGAGGUUACGCCCGCUUCGUGCCAUGUGCAGCGUUGAUGCAAGCUGCUGGCUUGCCCAACACCGUACCAUGCAUGUGCUCCUCCACGAACCUCGUCAGAUGGUGUGAGCUUUUUUGGUUUGCAUGACAAUUCGUGAAAGAGGAUGCCUCCAUUUCCUCCUAGUUUGGCGUCUCUUGCACAAGACGAGCCCAUGCAGCAACUGGCGAUGGCGUCGAACGACACUAAAUACCGCUGGAACCCCUCUCCUACAGACAACAGAUCUGUGACUAGCCUUGCAUGAUGAAUUGGUGAUGAUGCUGGUCAAGAUUUGGUGAUUCUUUUGCUGUCGAUGGUGCAUUGCUGGUGGAAAAUCUUCUCUCAUCUACCUUGGAUGCUGAUGAUGCUGGUCAAUGCUUUCAUGAUUCUCGUGUUGUCCACGGUGCAUUGCUUGUGGAGCAGCUUCUCUCAUCAAGUGAGGACUUUUUCCACAUAAUCAUGGAUUACUUCAUCUGUGUUGAUCAAGAAGUAUAGCAAGGAGAUCAGCAAGGACAACCAUGCUCUUGGAAAGCUGAGGAAGGAAGCUGAGGGUGCCAGUAGAGCCCUCAGUAACCAGCACCCGGUCUGUGUUGAGUUCGAGUCCCUCUUCGACGGGACUGAUUUCUCGGAACCACCGACCCAUGCCAGGUUAGAGGAACUCAACAAUGAUCUGUUCCGCAUGACCAUGGUACUCGUGAAGAACGCCAUGGAUGACGCUGGCCUCGAGGAGAGCCAGAUCCACAAAGUUGUUUCUUGUCGGUGGCAGCACCAGGAUUCCCAAAGGUCCCGCAGCUCAUCAGGGACUACUUCGACGACAAGGAGCCAGACAAGGGUGUGAACCCUGAUGAGGCUGUUGCCUUUGGUGCUACAGCGCAGGGAAGCAUCUUGAGUGGGAGGGUGGUGUCGGAACCAGUGGGAGUGGCCUGGCUUGAUGGUGAGGAUGGCGGCGCAAUCUAUGCUUGAGACGAUGGGAGGUCAGUUAGCUGCUGGAAAUCUGAUGGUCCGAAGGGCGAGAAGAUGGGUCGAUUUUUCUUUACAUUUCCGGGGAGAGCAUAUCUGUCUAAAGAAAAGAAAAGCCUGGAAGUUGUGGUUGUUAGCAGCCAGGCCAUCGAGGGAACUUGACACGCUCAAGUGGCUAUCUGGGUUGUGCCCAGAAGCUGGCUGUUAGAUUCAUAGGCUUCUCAGCUAGUUUGUUGUGGUGUUGAAAUAGCCUCUUGUUUUUAGAAUUGUGUUGAAGAGCUAAGCUUAGCUUCAUGUGGUUGAUUUUUGUUGGUGUGGAACAUGUUGCCUUGGCAGGAUGAUUUUGGACGGACUGGUUGCUCUACAAAGGAAUGAAUUCGAUUCGAGUGCAUGAGUGAAUGAGUUUCUGGAUUCCCAACAGACCCUUGUUGAUUCGGAUCAUGAUUUUUCUGUUUUGGCUGAAAAGAGUCCAUUGCAACUGUGUCGGCGUGCUAGUCGUCGCUGUGGGUUUUCUGCUCCCUGCAGCAGUACUUUUGUGCUUGUAAAAUACUCCCUCUGACCCUAAAUAAGUGGCGUGGUAUUAGUUCACUUAUUUUGGAUUGGAGGGAGUAGUUGUUUUGUACUCAUACAUAAGGAGGGAGCUUGAACUUAUUCUGGACUAUGGAUGAGAAGUCCCUUGUUCUGUACGUUGUUUUCCGGACCAUACAUAAUGAGAAGUCACUUAUUUUA